UACAGAGGGUGCGAGCGUUAAUCGGAUUCACUGGGCGUACAGGGAGCGUAGGCGGUUAGGUAAGCCCUCCGUGAAAUCUCCGGGCCUAACCCGGAAAGUGCAGAGGGGACUGCUUAGCUAGAGGAUGGGAGAGGAGCGCGGAAUUCCCGGUGUAGCGGUGAAAUGCGUAGAGAUCGGGAGGAAGGCCGGUGGCGAAGGCGGCGCUCUGGAACAUUUCUGACGCUGAGGCGCGAGAGCGUGGGGAGCAAACAGGAUUAGAUACCCUGGUAGUCCACGCCUUAAACGAUGGAUACUAAGUGUCGGCGGGUUACCGCCGGUGCCGCAGCUAACGCAGUAAGUAUCCCGCCUGGGAAGUACGGCCGCAAGGUUGAAACUUAAAUGAAUUGACGG
rnacentral:rRNA from 1 species